UACGGAGGAUCCAAGCGUUAUCCGGAUUCAUUGGGUUUAAAGGGUGCGUAGGCGGAAUGAUAAGUCAGUGGUGAAAUCUCAGAGCUUAACUCUGAAACUGCCAUUGAUACUGUCAAUCUUGAGUACAUUUGAUGUGGGCGGAAUGUGUCAUGUAGCGGUGAAAUGCUUAGAUAUGACACAGAACACCGAUUGCGAAGGCAGCUCACAAAACUGUAAACUGACGCUGAGGCACGAAAGCGUGGGUAUCAAACAGG
rnacentral:rRNA from 1 species